GCUUAAUAAGGAGACAGUCACAAAAGUGUGAUUUCGUGAAUCACAGUUUAUUGCCAUACAAUGGGAAUUUUUUCUUAGGUUCACAAUGCUUAAAGAGGGGGAGAACAUGAACAAACUUCACAGGGAAGACACUGGAUAGACAAGGAAGGAAAGCACUGCAUUCUAUGAGUGACCUCAGUUUGAACGUAUCAGAGAAAAUGGCAAUACUUCCAAAGCACAGGGACACAGGUGCACCUGAAAACUGGAAUAUAUGAGUGCAUAUUACUCACAGUCCUGGAGGAUCAGGCCCAUGGUUUUCAAAGCGCUGGGAGAACAACAGCAAGAGUCCAGUAACUCAGAAUGUGUACUAAAAAGAACAUACCUUGAACUAAUAUACCCAGACAAAUCAACCCCACACCUCUACCUUCAGGCUCAAUGGCUCUCUGACCAGAUCAAAUUUUAUGAAUAUGUCUCUAUCACUUGGACGAGCCCCAUUUUCCUAAUUGUUAAGAGAAAGCAUUACCUACAAGAACUGUAUUCCUUAAGAAUAUUUCUUUUAUUACUCA